GAACAUUUAGUUUAUAAAAAACAUAUAUUUUGAAAGUAUAAAAAAAGAAAAAUUCUCUUAAUGUUCG
rnacentral:tRNA from 1 species